GAUGAACGCUGGCGGCGUGCCUAAUACACGCAAGUCGAGCGAACAGACGAGGAGCUUGCUCCUCUGACGUUAGCGGCGGACGGGUGAGUAACACGUGGAUAACCUACCUAUAAGACUGGGAUAACUUCGGGAAACCGGAGCUAAUACCGGAUAACAUGUUGAACCGCAUGGUUCAACAGCGAAAGACGGUCUUGCUGUCACUUAUAGAUGGAUCCGCGCCGCAUUAGCUAGUUGGUAAGGUAACGGCUUACCAAGGCAACGAUGCGUAGCCGACCUGAGAGGGUGAUCGGCCACACUGGAACUGAGACACGGUCCAGACUCCUACGGGAGGCAGCAGUAGGGAAUCUUCCGCAAUGGGCGAAAGCCUGACGGAGCAACGCCGCGUGAGUGAAGAAGGUCUUCGGAUCGUAAAACUCUGUUAUUAGGGAAGAACAAAUGUGUAAGUAACUAUGCACGUCUUGACGGUACCUAAUCAGAAAGCCACGGCUAACUACGUG
rnacentral:rRNA from 1 species